rnacentral:lncRNA from 1 species
UGAUAGAGGUGAGAGUGCUUGUGUCUAAGGCGGUUCUUGACCUUGCUUGUAUAUGAGAAUGCCCCGUUCCAGUUUCAUCUAUAAGAGGAUUUCCUCUGUUCCGUUAGCGCAACAUUAUACCAUUAUACUACUAAGUAAGCUUGUUCGGUAAGAAAGCGUAGAGAGAAGCUCGUUGAGCGUAGAAAUCGGUAAUCAUAGAAAAGAGAGGUUAAGCUGUGAAAAAGUAAGCUUAUGAAUUGCUAGUUCCAGUUCUUGUUUCAGAAUCAGAAUAAGUUCGAUAAGAUGCUAC